CGACGGGUGAGUAACACGUAUGCAAUCCACCUGUAACAGGGGAUAACCCGGAGAAAUCCGGACUAAUACCCCAUAAUAUGGGCGCUCCGCAUGGAGAGUCCAUUAAAGAGAGCAAUCUUGGUUACAGACGAGCAUGCGCUCCAUUAGCCAGUUGGCGGGGUAACGGCCCACCAAGGCGACGAUGGAUAGGGGUUCUGAGAGGAAGGUCCCCCACAUUGGAACUGAGACACGGUCCAA
rnacentral:rRNA from 1 species